CGGAGGGUGCAAGCGUUAUCCGGAUUCACUGGGUUUAAAGGGUGCGUAGGUGGGCAAGUAAGUCAGUGGUGAAAUCUCCGGGCUUAACCCGGAAACUGCCAUUGAUACUAUUUGUCUUGAAUAUCCUGGAGGUGAGCGGAAUAUGUCAUGUAGCGGUGAAAUGCUUAGAUAUGACAUAGAACACCCAUUGCGAAGGCAGCUCACUACGGGAACAUUGACACUGAGGCACGAAAGCGUGGGGAUCAAACAGGAUUAGAUACCCUGGUAGUCCACGCCCUAAACGAUGGAUACUCGACAUCAGCGAUAAACUGUUGGUGUCUGAGCAAAAGCAUUAAGUAUCCCACCUGGGAAGUACGAUCGCAAGAUUG
rnacentral:rRNA from 1 species